rnacentral:rRNA from 1 species
AGAGUUUGAUCAUGGCUCAGGAUGAACGCUAGCGACAGGCUUAACACAUGCAAGUCGAGGGGCAGCACGGGAGUAGCAAUACAACUGGUGGCGACCGGCGCACGGGUGAGUAACGCGUAUGCAACCUACCUAUCAGAGGGGAAUAACCCGGCGAAAGUCGGACUAAUACCGCAUAAAACAGGGGCACCGCAUGGUGAUAUUUGUUAAAGAAAUUCGCUGAUAGAUGGGCAUGCGUUCCAUUAGGUAGUUGGUGAGGUAACGGCUCACCAAGCCGACGAUGGAUAGGGGAACUGAGAGGUUGGUCCCCCACACUGGUACUGAGACACGGACCAGACUCCUACGGGAGGCAGCAGUGAGGAAUAUUGGUCAAUGGGCGGGAGCCUGAACCAGCCAAGUCCGCGUGAAGGAAGAAGGAUCUAUGGUUCGUAAACUUCUUUUGCAGGGGAAUAAAGUGCAGGACGUGUCCUGUUUUGUAUGUACCCUGAGAAUAAGGAUCGGCUAACUCCGUGCCAGCCGCCGC